rnacentral:rRNA from 1 species
CAUAACCUCGGGAAACUGGGGAUAAUACCGGAUAACGCAUAUGUGCUGGAAUGCUUUAUGCGUAAAACGGAUUCGUCCGCCCAAGGAUGGGUCUGCGGCCUAUCAGGUAGCAGUGGGUGUAAUGUACCUACUAGCCAACAACGGGUACGGGUUGUGAGAGCAAGAGCCCGGAGAUGGAUUCUGAGACAUGAAUCCAGGCCCUACGGGGCGCAGCAGGCGCGAAAACUUUACAAUGCGGGAAACCGUGAUAAGGGAACACCGAGUGCCAGCAUCAUAUGCUGGCUGUCCAGAUGUGUAAAGUACAUCUGUUAGCAAGGGCCGGGCAAGACCGGUGCCAGCCGCCGCGGUAACACCGGCGGCCCGAGUGGUGACCGUUAUUAUUGGGUCUAAAGGGUCCGUAGCCGGUUUGGUCAGUCCUCCGGGAAAUCUGAUAGCUUAACUGUUAGGCUCUCGGGGGAUACUGCCAGGCUUGCACCGGGAGAGGUAAGAGGUACUACAGGGGUAGGAGUGAAAUCUUGUAAUCCCUGUGAGACCACCUGUGGCGAAGGCGUCUUACCAGAACGGGUUCGACGGUGAGGGACGAAAGCUGGGGGCACGAACCGGAUUAGAUACCCGGGUAGUCCCAGCCGUAAACUAUGCUCGCUAGUGUCAUGCAUGGCGCGACCGUGUCUGGUGCCGCAGGAAGCCGUGAAGCGAGCCACCUGGGAAGUACGGCCGCAAGGCUGAAACUUAAAGGAACUGGCGGGGGAGCACAACAACGGGUGAAGCCUGCGGUUAAUUGGAACUCAACGCCGGACAACUCACCGGGGACGACAGCAAAAUGAAGGCAAGCCUGAAGGCCUUGCCUGAAUCGCUGAAAAGAAGUGCAUGAC